rnacentral:rRNA from 1 species
AUUGAACGCUGGCGGCAGGCCUAACACAUGCAAGUCGAACGGUAACAGGAAGAAGCUUGCUUCUUUGCUGACGAGUGGCGGACGGGUGAGUAAUGUCUGGGAAACUGCCUGAUGGAGGGGGAUAACUACUGGAAACGGUAGCUAAUACCGCAUAACGUCGCAAGACCAAAGGGGGGGACCUUCGGGCCUCUUGCCAUCGGAUGUGCCCAGAUGGGAUUCGCUAGUAGGUGGGGUAACGGCUAACCUAGGCGACGAUCCCUAGCUGGUCUGAGAGGAUGACCAGCCACACUGGAACUGAGACACGGUCCAGACUCCUGCGGGAGGCAGCAGUGGGGAAUAUUGCGCAAUGGGCGCAAGCCUGAUGCAGCCAUGCCGCGUGUAUGAAGAAGGCCUUCGGGUUGUAAAGUACUUUCAGCGGGGAGGAAGGGAGUAAAGUUAAUACCUUUGCUCAUUGACGUUACCCGCAGAAGAAGCACCGGCUAACUCCGUG